rnacentral:snoRNA from 1 species
UAUAUCGAUGAUGAUAGCUUGGCUCCCUCUACUGAAUUUUUAUGUGGAAAUCUGCCAUUGUUACCCAAUUUUCUGUCUGAGAUAUG